GCCCUUGUAGCUUAAUUGGAUAGAGCAUUGGCUUCCGAAGCCAUCGGUUGUGGGUUCAAGUCCCGCCAAGGGCA
rnacentral:tRNA from 1 species